rnacentral:rRNA from 1 species
UAACACAUGCAAGUCGAACGCUUGUCCGGCUUCGGCCGGACGGGAGUGGCGCACGGGUGAGUAGCGCGUGGGAACCUGCCCUGUUGUGGGGGAUAACCGAGGGAAACUUCGGCUAAUACCGCAUAAGCCGGGAAACCGGGAAAGAUUUAUCGCGACAGGAGGGGCCCGCGUCGGAUUAGGUAGUUGGUAGGGUAACGGCCUACCAAGCCUGUGAUCCGUAGCUGGUCUGAGAGGAUGAUCAGCCACACUGGGACUGAGACACGGCCCAGACUCCUACGGGAGGCAGCAGUGGGGAAUAUUGGACAAUGGGCGCAAGCCUGAUCCAGCAAUGCCGCGUGAGUGAUGAAGGCCUUAGGGUUGUAAAGCUCUUUCGCCCGCGACGAUGAUGACGGUAGCGGGAGAAGAAGCCCCGGCUAACUUCGUGCCAGCAGCCGCGGUAAUACGAAGGGGGCGAGCGUUGUUCGGAUUUACUGGGCGUAAAGGGCGCGU